UGGGGAAUAUUGCACAAUGGAGGGAACUCUGAUGCAGCAACGCCGCGUGCGGGAUGACGGCCUUCGGGUUGUAAACCGCUUUCAGCCAUGACGAAGCUUUUGUGACGGUAGUGGUAGAAGAAGCACCGGCUAACUACGUGCCAGCAGCCGCGGUGAUACGUAGGGUGCGAGCGUUGUCCGGAAUUAUUGGGCGUAAAGGGUGCGCAGGCGGCUUUACAAGUUGGAUGUGAAAUAUUGUGGCUCAACCACAAACGUGCAUCCAAAACUGCAAAGCUUGAGUUAAGGAGAGGUAAGUGGAAUUCCUGGUGUAGCGGUGGAAUGCGUAGAUAUCAGGAGGAAUACCGGUGGCGAAGGCGACUUACUGGACUUAAACUGACGCUCAGGCACGAAAGCGUGGGGAGCAAACAGG
rnacentral:rRNA from 1 species